UACGGCCUUAUCACGUUGAAACACCGGUUCUCUUACGAUCGCCGAAAUUAAGCAACAUCAAGCCUGGUCAGUGACUAGAUGGGUGACCGCUUCGGAAUAGCAGGUGUUGUAA